AGAGUUUGAUCCUGGCUCAGAACGAACGCUGGCGGCGUGUUUAAGACAUGCAAGUCGCACGGGAUUGAUUGAGUAGUAAUACAAGAUCAGUCUAGUGGCGCACGGGUGAGUAACAUGUGAAUUACAUGCCCUAUAGUGGGGAAUAGCCCAGGGAAACUUGGAUUAAUACCCCAUAGUCUCGCAAGAGUAAAGGUGGCCGCAAGGCUGUCGCUAUAGGAUUGGUUCGCACCCUAUCAGCUUGUUGGUGAGGUAAUGGCUCACCAAGGCUACGACGGGUACCUGGUCUGAGAGGACGAUCAGGCACACUGGAACUGAGACACGGUCCAGACACCUACGGGUGGCAGCAGUCGAGAAUAAUUCACAAUGGGGGCAACCCUGAUGGUGCAACGCCGCGUGGAGGAUGACGGUCUUCGGAUUGUAAACUCCUGUCAUCUGGGAGUAAGGCAUGGUUGUUAAUAGCAAACAUGAUUGAUAGUACCAGAAGAGGAAGGGACGGCUAACUUCGUGCCAGCAGCCGCGGUAAUACGAAGGUCCCAAGCGUUGUUCGGAAUCACUGGGCGUAAAGGGAGCGUAGGCGGCGUGGUAAGUCAGAUGUGAAAUCCCGGGGCUCAACCCCGGAACUGCAUCCGAUACUGCCAUGCUAGAGGAUUGGAGAGGUAGCUGGAAUUCUUGGUGUAGCAGUGAAAUGCGUAGAGAUCAAGAGGAACACUCGUGGCGAAAGCGAGCUACUGGACAAUUCCUGACGCUGAGGCUCGAAGGCUAGGGUAGCGAAAGGGAUUAGAUACCCCUGUAGUCCUAGC
rnacentral:rRNA from 1 species